GCCCCCCUAGCUCAGCGGUAGAGCAACCCCACCAUGGGCCCUUCAAAGGUGCGGGGAGGUCGCUGGUUCGAAUCCAGCGGGGGGCUCCA
rnacentral:tRNA from 1 species